AUCGGUACAUAAUUCUUAUAGCGUAAAAGUUAAUUAUAUUCAUAUAUACUAUAAAGCAAAUAACCAAAGCAUAAAAUUUCUUUUACAGUGACACGUGGGCCCACCUCUAACCAAAAUGCAUCGGAAGCUAUAAACCUACAGCUUUUACCGAUUUGAGUCCAAUUGAAAGUCCUUGUCAAAGUCAGCUAACUAUGGAAUUCCCCAAGCCUGAAAUGUGAGGAAAUGAGGGUGGUGAGAUUAUAAAAUCCCAGUGAGUAAACAAAUACCAUUUAAACUAUCUAAAGUUGAGUAAAUGGAGACAAUUAAAAUAAGUUAUCAUAUUGUAAUUUCAUUACCUUUCAACUCAUUUCAACAAAAUAAAAUCAAUCCAUAAAAAUCGAGUAAUCAACUUGGCUUAUGAAUUUCUUAAAACUUUGGCUCGUGCCAAAACUCAUACUCGGUGAUACCUUGCGCAGGGCAUCCAACCGAGUCCGCCAAGGCUGUUAAAUUUUUUGUAUACACUUAAAAUAUAUUUUUAGUUUGAGAAAAAUACAGCCGUUCCUUGGCGUUAGCUGAGUUUCCCUUCACGUGGUGGUUUGGCGUAAAGUGAACCCUAAGCUUUACCCGAGGAGAUACCCUACGCACCUCUCCGUUCGAGGUAAGAAUAUAAUGGAGUUUACCGUGCCCCUCUAAUAGGCUGGUCCACGGAACCCCCUCUGCAAUGAAUAAUUAAUAUAUAAUCCACCAAUCAAUAAAAUUCAUUCUAGCAUGACAUGGCAAUUUAUCGUAACCUAGCCUCUCAAGGCUGAAUAUACAGUAUAAAUAAUUCUAACACCAAAAUUAGUUUAGCCAUUCAUGCUCAUUUAUUGUCAUAAGCCAUUCAAUUCAAAACCAUAAAUUUGCAACACAAGCAGGCAGUCUCCAAUUACUCUAUUUUCAAAACCAGUAUUCGAUUUUUCCAGAAAAUUUAUGAAAUCGCAAUUUCUCUUAAAACAUAGCAAUUUACCAUUUAAACUCAUUCUCCAUAAAAUCACACAAUUGUAUAAAACUACUUUAGAUAAUUAAGACGAUAAUAAGUUCACUCAUUGUUCUAGGAGUCGAUGUACUCCUAAUCCCAGUCUUCAAGCACAAUUUUUGUACUUUUACCAGUGUACUUUGCUCACCACCUAUCCACAAUGUACAAUGCAUAAUUCAUCACAUCAAUGCUUGACCAUUAUAAAAUCAAUUUAGGCUCGGUAUAUAUGCAUGAUAUGAUAUACAACUUAUCCGACUACCGCUUAAAUGCGGUGCUGACCUAAUUCGACCUAUUAUCUCCAGUUUAACUCCAAAUCAAUUCUUUUCACUUUCUACACUCCAAUUAUACUUAAAUUACCUUAGUGACUUUGAAUGAGAUUCAAUUUAUCAGUCUCGGUAGCAAAUUACACAAAUACCCUUAGUGGGUAAAAAUUCGUAUUUUUGCUCCGAAAAUUCCCAUUAUUUUUCUAGGCUCAUAAUUCAUCAUUUCUUAACUAAUUCUCCUAGAAUGAAAAUCAAAUUCAUCCUCACUCAACACAUGAUAAAUUCGGCCAUUAAUGGUUGUGGGAGAAAAUAAAUUCUUUUCUUGUUGUUUUGUUUCUAAAUAUGCUAAACUAACUUAAAACACUAACAUAACUUAAAAUCAAAUUAAUCUAACAAUUUUCUCUCUCCUAACCCAUUUUUCAGAAUUGAAUUCAUCAUAAUAACUCAAUAUUUAACCACGAAAAUCAAGAACAAAAGCAUGGGUAAGCUAGGUAUCAAGGAGAACUAAAGAAAUUCUAACUUACCUAGCUUGUUUCCUUGAUUUCUUCACUUUUUCUUUGAAUUUUCACCUAGGUUUUCUUGUUUUUCCCUUUGUUCUUCCUCUCUUUCUC
rnacentral:lncRNA from 1 species